rnacentral:rRNA from 1 species
CCUACGGGGGGCAGCAGGCGCGAAAACUUUACAAUGCGGGAAACCGUGAUAAGGGGACACCGAGUGCCAGCGUCAUACGCUGGCUGUCCGGGUGUGUAAAAUACACCUGUUAGCAAGGGCCGGGCAAGACCGGUGCCAGCCGCCGCGGUAACACCGGCGGCCCGAGUGGUGAUCGUGAUUAUUGGGUCUAAAGGGUCCGUAGCCGGUUUGGUCAGUCCUCCGGGAAAUCUGAUAGCUUAACUAUUAGGCUUUCGGGGGAUACUGCCAGACUUGGAACCGGGAGAGGUAAGAGGUACUACAG